AACAAAAAUCCAGUAAAAGAUAGAAACUAGAUGAUGGAUAUAUAAU
rnacentral:guide_RNA from 1 species